rnacentral:rRNA from 1 species
AUUGAACGCUGGCGGCAGGCCUAACACAUGCAAGUCGAACGGUAGCACAGAGAGCUUGCUCUCGGGUGACGAGUGGCGGACGGGUGAGUAACGUCUGGGAAACUGCCCGAUGGAGGGGGAUAACUACUGGGAACGGUAGCUAAUACCGCAUAACGUCGCAAGACCAAAGUGGGGGACCUUCGGGCCUCACACCAUCGGAUGUGCCAGAUGGGAUUAGCUAGUAGGUGGGGUAAUGGCUCACCUAGGCGACGAUCCCUAGCUGGUCUGAGAGGAUGACCAGCCACACUGGAACUGAGACACGGUCCAGACUCCUACGGGAGGCAGCAGUGGGGAAUAUUGCACAAUGGGCGCAAGCCUGAUGCAGCCAUGCCGCGUGUAUGAAGAAGGCCUUCGGGUUGUAAAGUACUUUCAGCGGGGAGGAAGGCGGUGAAGUUAAUAGCUUCACCGAUUGACGUUACCCGCAGAAGAAGCACCGGCUAACUCCGUGCCAGCCGCCGCGGUAA